rnacentral:tRNA from 1 species
ACUAUUUUGGCAGAUUAGUGCAGUAAAUUUAGAAUUUACUUAUGUAAUUUUUAUUACAGAUAGUA